UGACAUUUUUUUGUCUGUGCUGAUUUUAGCAAUAAAAAAAAGUCAUAUAUCUGGUACGGGGGGGUGGCCCUCCAACCCAAGACUUCACCACAGCAGAGGAGCUGGCCCUGGACUUAAAUAAAGGGAAGCCAGUGAUUGAAGGGAUCCAGGGAGGGACAGCCACUGACUCUGGCCCAGCAAGGGAUACUGGCCUCUUCAUACAAGUGGCUGGCAACACCCUUACACUUUUGGAGCCACCAGACUAUGAUUCGCCGAGGGAAGCCACAUCUACAGCAGUGGAGUGCACUUUUGCCGAUGAUGAGACCGUGUCGCUGGACUCCAGAAGGCUCGAGGAUCCUGACACUGGGCAGCCUGAUAAGCAGCCUGGUAACAUAAUAUCUCUACACAACGCAUCUUAAGAGACAGAUCGAGCUGUCAGAAGUCAAGAUUGAUGUGAACAAAAGAAAGCUGCAGGACAUGGA